rnacentral:rRNA from 1 species
GAUGAACGCUGGCGGUAUGCUUAACACAUGCAAGUCGAACGGACUCUUCGGAGUUAGUGGCGGACGGGUGAGUAACGCGUGAGAAUCUGGCUUUGGGUUCGGGACAACCACUGGAAACGGUGGCUAAUACCGGAUGUGCCGAGAGGUAAAAGAGAAAUUGCCUGAAGAUGAGCUCGCGUCUGAUUAGCUAGUUGGUGAGGUAAGGGCUCACCAAGGCAGCGAUCAGUAGCUGGUCUGAGAGGAUGACCAGCCACACUGGGACUGAGACACGGCCCAGACUCCUACGGGAGGCAGCAGUGGGGAAUUGUCCGCAAAGGGCGAAAGCCUGACGGAGCAAUACCGCGUGAGGGAAGAAGGCUCUUGGGUUGUAAACCUCUUUUCUUAGGGAAGAACAAAAUGACGGUACCUAAGGAAUCAGCAUCGGCUAACUCCGUG